rnacentral:tRNA from 1 species
UGGGGUGUAGUUUAGUGGUAGAAUGCUUGCCUACCAUGCUUGAUCCCCUGGGUUCAAUCUCCAGCACCCAAA